GAUGAACGCUGGCGGCGUGCCUAAUACAUGCAAGUCGAGCGAACGGACGAGAAGCUUGCUUCUCUGAUGUUAGCGGCGGACGGGUGAGUAACACGUGGAUAACCUACCUAUAAGACUGGGAUAACUUCGGGAAACCGGAUCUAAUACCGGAUAAUAUUUUGAACCGCAUGGUUCAAAAGUGAAAGACGGUCUUGCUGUCACUUAUAGAUGGAUCCGCGCUGCAUUAGCUAGUUGGUAAGGUAACGGCUUACCAAGGCAACGAUGCAUAGACGACCUGUGAGAGUGAUAGGCCGCCCUGGAACUGAGCCGGGGUCACGGCGCCUAAGGGAGGCAGCAGUAGGGAAUCUUCCGCAAUGGGCGGAAGCCUGACGGAGCAACGGCGCGUGAGUGAUGAAGGUCCUCGGUUCGUAAAAAUGUGUUACGAGGGAAGAACAUAUGUGUAAGUAACUGUGCACAUCUUGACGGUACCUAAUCAGAAAGCCACGGCUAACUACGUG
rnacentral:rRNA from 1 species